rnacentral:antisense_RNA from 1 species
GGACUCCGCGGUGCCGGCCGACCCGGAAGCAUGUCUGUCCCUAGCGGAGGCGCGGGUGCCGUGGUGAGAGCGCCUGCCUGUGCGCCCCGAGCGGGGCCGGGACUCUUCCAAGAUGCCCAUGUUCGCACAGAGACCCCGGAUCGCGGAAGCUCGCGUCUCGAAAGGCCUGCGGUCUCACGCCCUGCCCGUCCUGGGUUCACGGUUUUUCAUCACCUGCGGCUGUCCUGCGAUCGACCACAGCUGUGCAGGAGGGACAGGAGGUAUCUGUUGCUGCAGUUACCGGAACCUUUGCCAGGACUAGUACAGGACCACGGGCUGGUAGCUCAGGGAUGUCUCGUCUGUGAGUUACAGCUGCACGCUCUCCAGGAAAGAAGGAAUUUUCUCUUCUCUGGAAACCCCACCACACAGCUGGUUUCUCAUUGGUGCUGCUUGCCCAUUUCCUGAGCUGUGACUGCCAGAGGAGUGGGAGGUUGGUGGUGCCUCCAGCCCAUCAGGGGCAGGCCCUGGGACCGCCUGGGAACAGGAGGACUAUGGCACAAACCGAGUUAGUGAUGGGAGCAACCCGCAGGGCUCUGCCGCAUCCCUGUCUUCCUUCACUGACAUGAAACGCAGAAAAGGCAGCUUUGCCACAACACAGCAGCACGCACCGAAUGUGGCUGCCCAAGGCUCUGUCCUUGACCCUGUUGUCCAGGACUGUUUACCAAGGGCUGACAGGCACUGAGUGCCCCGUGCACAUGGCCAGACACUGCACUCAUGCAGUGGAAAGGACAGUGAACGAGACUUGGUCCCUGGCCUCC